GUCGAGCGAACAGAUGAGGAGCUUACUCCUCUGAUGUUAGCGGCGGACGGGUGAGUAACACGUGGGCAACCUGCCCUAUAGUUUGGGAUAACUCGCGGAAACGUGAGCUAAUACCGAAUAAUACAUUUCAUCUCCUGAUGGAAUGUUGAAAGAUGGUUUUUCGCUAUCGCUAUAGGAUGGGCCCGCGGCGCAUUAGCUAGUAGGUGAGGUAACGGCUCACCUAGGCAACGAUGCGUAGCCGACCUGAGAGGGUGAUCGGCCACACUGGGACUGAGACACGGCCCAGACUCCUACGGGAGGCGGCAGUAGGGAAUCUUCCACAAUGGACGAAAGUCUGAUGGAGCAACGCCGCGUGAGUGAAGAAGGUUUUCGGAUCGUAAAACUCUGUUGUAAGGGAAGAACAAGUACAGUAGUAACUGGCUGUACCUUGACGGUACCUUAUUAGAAAGCCACGGCUAACUACGUGCCAGCAGCCGCGGUAAUACGUAGGUGGCAAGCGUUGUCCGGAAUUAUUGGGCGUAAAGCGCGCGCAGGCGGUCCUUUAAGUCUGAUGUGAAAUCACGUGGCUCAACCACGUGCGGUCAUUGGAAACUGGAGGACUUGAGUGCAGAAGAGGAAAGUGGA
rnacentral:rRNA from 1 species